AUCAACCUUUUCAUUACUGGUUGUUGAAUAUAUUUAUAUAUACACCUUGCUGUUAUUAUUUAUGUAAAUGUAUUUUUUCAUUACUGGUUAAUAAAUAAACUGUGACAGCAGUAGGUUAGAAGGCUGAUAUCCCAAUCAACUGUAACAGCAGUAGGUUAGAAGGCUGAUAUCCCAAUCAACUGUAACAGCAGUAGGUUAGAAGGCUGAUAUCCCAAUCAACUGUAACAGCAGUAGGUUAGAAGGCUGAUACCCCAGUCUCCUGAAAGCAGCAGUACUCACGGGCAGGCCAGCCCC